CAUUUCAAUUGGUUGAAAAAAAAAGGAAAGAAAUCUUCUGUUUGGUUGAAACACUAAAUUUGAUUAGGAAAAUUAAUUAGAUCGAGAAAAAAAAAUCCCAAUAUUACAUGUUCUUAAUUAGGUGAAAGUCUGCUCUGGGUGGUGAGACGUCGGUUGCUAAGGGUUGGCUCGUGGAACCGAGCUUCCGUCUGUACUGAGGAUACAGACAUGUUUUUUUGAUCUGUGCGUGGUCCACAUGUGGGGGACUGAGUAUAAAAGACGGCUUCUGAAAGAGGGAGCGCGUUCGCAGAGUGAAGUAUUUUCAAGAUACGAGGGACCCGGGCCUAGAGGGGCCUAACGUUGAGGAAAUACUUCGUGAAAGGCUCUGUCGCCAGAUCAGGUUGGUUCCCUUUUUACGGAGACGUCCGAUAAAAAGGCAUUUUGGGAAGGUUCCGGCCGGAACACACAAAAAAUCUAAGGCAGGAAACCGCCGGACUCUGAAAGACGGGUUCGGGGCAAUUUGAGUCUUCACCACCAGACAGCAACCGUACAAAACUAAAGAACUGAGCGCGAUGAGGGUAAAUCCGGAUCUGGACUCCUUUCCCACCAUCAGCAGAAGAACCGAAGGAGAAGAAGCGCCUGUCCAACAACCAGAACAGGGUGGAAGCUCUGACACCACAGCAGCUGGAGGACACAGACCACAGCAUGGAGGCCUCACAGACUCCCACAACGUCUGCAGCCGUCACGUUCUGGGCUCAUCAGAUGAACCAGCUACUACAGACCCUGCACCAGCAUGAAAGGACUGUGUCUGAAGCUUCUGAAGCCGUGAAACUGUCAUACACGCGUGUGUGUCUGACAGACACCUGCUUAUGACAAUCAGCAAAGGAAAACAAGGACAGAGCAACAGCAGAGAAGACGUGCUCUAACAGAGACACUGGUUGAAACAACAGGAGAGGCUUCAGACGUGAUCGGCCCAAAAGAGCUGCAUGCAAGGAUCCAGGAAAGGUCUGUCAUCGAGGAACAACUGUCCCAUCGAAAGGCUUCACCCACUGGCGCUCACAUCAGACUGAUGGUUGGGGAAGGAGGAAGGUGACGGUUCCUUUUCACGUGAUGUACAAGACGGUACCGCAAAAACACACACACAUUCAUACACGCAAUGAAGAAACACGCUUACAGCUGAUACACGCUCAAAUUCAUGUUCAUGCUUAUCUGCUCGCAAUGAAGAAUCGCUUUUUGCUUAAAAAAAUCCCACAGAGUGAUUUUAAAAUGAUGACAAACAGCUAAAUGACAACUGCUGCAUGACUUUACAGUCUGAUGGGUUUAAACUAUUUUAACUUGCAACAAAUUCAGUAAUAAAAUCCUUCAUGUUUCUAAAAAUACUUGUGCACAAUAUAGGUUUGUCUGGCCAGAAUAUAGAAAAACAAAAUCAGACUAUAGAAAAACAAAACAGACUAUAGGAA